rnacentral:rRNA from 1 species
CCCUUAGAUGUCCUGGGCUGCACGCGCGCUACACUGAUGCGCUCAACGAGUUUACGAUCUUGCUUGAAAUGCCUGGGCAAUCUUGUUAACGUGCAUCGUGAUAGGGAUAGAUUAUUGAAAUUAUUAAUCUUGAACGAGGAAUUCCUAGUAAACGCAGAUCAUCAAUCUGCAUUGAUUACGUCCCUGCCCUUUGUACACACCGCCCGUCGCACCUACCGAUUGGAUGGUCCGGUGAAGCCUCGGGAUUGUGGUUCUUGCCGCUUUAUUGUGGCGUGACCGCGAGAACUUGUCUAAACCUUAUCAUCUAGAGGAAGGUGAAGUCGCAACA